GCGGAGAGGUGGAUUCUUCAACUGUUUUUCAGAUGAUUCUACCUACAAAUUAAAACAAAACACAAGAAAUAUUCUCCCGUGAUUCAGUGCGUUGAACUAGGUCCACACCAUAGCUUUGAAAAGUAGACAACACAGGUUAAGCUGAUUUCCUGCCACUUAAUCUAUGCUGCCAGUAGGAGACAAUGGGUUCUGUUCACGAAGCUUUAACUCAUGAGUUAUUAACCUCUGCUCCACAGUUCAUGUAUUUUCAAAGUUUAUUUUAUGAAUAAUUUCAAGUUUGUUAUUCCUGGAACUACAUGGUUUAAUUAAAAACAGUAAAGAACAGUGUCAUAAAUGUCAAUUUAUUUUAUUAAUAAAAAAAGACGUAAUUUUUGGAAUAUCGGGUGUUACCAACAGUAACACUGGCUGUGGACGCUAACAUAGGAAACAUAAGUAACUAUGGUUAAUGCGGAACCAUAAUUUACCACACAUACGCUGUAUGUGUUUUAACAUGCUUACCUGUGACUUACCAUGCUUUCACUAUCACUAUGGUUUUCUAUGUUUUUGCUGUGAUAUACCUCUAUGAACUUUCAUUAUAUAAGGGCCAAUGGAGUCAAAGUGGACUUGAGUUUUGUUAUGAUAAUGUGAGCUAAGAAAAGCCUUGUCUCAUAAUACCUUAUGUACACCUGCCUGUUGUUGAUAAAAAGCUUUUUUAAAAAAAAAAAAAGAAAACCUGUAUAAAACCCCUGCACCUCCAUUAUCCAUUUUAUACAAAGCACUCCAGGAAAAUGGAACAUGCUGCAUUAGGCAGUUUGGAUAAAGAGCUUCUACUGUAUCUGUAAGACAUUUAACCUCAGUUGGUCCACAGCUUCAAUAAUGUUCUUCUGCAAGGGUUCUUUUAGAUGCUUAGCAAGUUCCAGAUCCCUUUUUAAUUCCACUCCACACUCGUCAUGAACCAGGUGAAUCGCUUGGGACAGAUAGCUCUUAUCUUAUGCAGUAUCCCGAGUUAAAAUGUAAACUGCCACAAAGGAGUAGGUGCAGAGUAGAGAUUGUGCUGAUUUAAAAGCAAUACUACUCCACAUUCUCUGUUAAGUGAGUGAAUUUCAAAUCUGAAAUCUCCCUUUUCUAAUUUCAUUACCUUGGUUAAAGCUGCAAUUUCAACAUUGAUUUUGGAAAGGCAUUGUCCAUCUUCUCCUUCCACCAUUCUCUCUGACAGUUUCAUCUGAGUGCAUGUUUUAUUCCUGCUUGUCUGAAAUGCAUU